rnacentral:rRNA from 1 species
AUUGAACGCUGGCGGCAGGCCUAACACAUGCAAGUCGAACGAGUGGCGGACGGGUGACUUAGGUCUGGGAAACUGCCUGGUGGAUGAGGAUAAGUAACGGAAACGGUAGCUAAUACCGCAUACCAUCGGAUGUGCCCAGAUGGGAUUAGCUAGUGGGUGGGGUAAAGGCUCACCACGGCGACGAUCCCUAGCUGGUCUGAGAGGAUGACCAGCCACAAUGGAACUGAGACACGGUCCAGACUCCUACGGGAGGCAGCAGUGGGGAAUAUUGCACAAUGGGCGAAAGCCUGAUGCAGCCAUGCCGCGUGUAUGAAGAAGGUCUUCGGGUUGUAAAGUACUUUCAGCGGGGAGGCGUUACCCGCAGAAGAAGCACCGGCUAACUCCGUGCCAGCAGCCGCGGUAAUAC